rnacentral:rRNA from 1 species
GCAUAAUCAAUAGUUUUUUAAUUGAAGACUGGGAUGAAAGAUAAAUUCUGAGGAGAAAGUUUUAUUUAAUAAAUUUGAAUUUUAAUUAAAAGUAAAAAUGCUUUUGUUAAAUUUUAGGACGAGAAGACCCUAGAAGCUUAUAAUAAAUUAUAAUAAUUCAAUAGAAUUAAUUAUUCAAUAUUUUUUAUUGGGGCAAUAUUUGAAGAAAAAAAUUUUUAGUUUAAAAUUAGAAAAUUUUAAAAGUUACUCUAGGGAUAACAGGGUAAUUUAAUUUAAGAGUUCUUAUUAAAAAUUAAGUUUGCUACC